rnacentral:lncRNA from 1 species
UCACGCGAAAUUUCCAUUUUGCCAAUUUCGACUCCUCAGCGAACUUUUCAAGAUUCCCAGAGAUCCGUUCGUCGGAUUUUCGAUCGGAUCACGCCAGCGCGUUCAGCACGACUGGGACAUCGAAUCUACCAUUUCGUUCAUCCGAUUCGGUCGUCGAUUUGCGACAAAACUAAACCUCUCCAAUCUCCAAAAACCACACCUAUACAUAUAAAUCCAAUACAACUCUUUUUCUCGAAAACCGUGCAUCAGAACCCAAAUCUGUCAGUGCCAUUGGGUCCAGAAUAGUCGAACUGUCGAA